CCUACGGGGGGCAGCAGUGGGGAAUAUUGGACAAUGGGCGAAAGCCUGAUCCAGCCAUGCCGCGUGUGUGAAGAAGGCCUUCGGGUUGUAAAGCACUUUCAGUGGGGAAGAAAGCCUUGGGGCUAAUACCCUCGAGGAAGGACAUCACCCACAGAAGAAGCACCGGCUAACUCCGUGCCAGCAGCCGCGGUAAUACGGAGGGUGCGAGCGUUAAUCGGAAUUACUGGGCGUAAAGCGCGCGUAGGCGGUCUGAUAAGCCGGUUGUGAAAGCCCCGGGCUCAACCUGGGAACGGCAUCUGGAACUGUCAGGCUAGAGUGCAGGAGAGGAAGGUAGAAUUCCCGGUGUAGCGGUGAAAUGCGUAGAGAUCGGGAGGAAUACCAGUGGCGAAGGCGGCCUUCUGGACUGACACUGACGCUGAGGUGCGAAAGCGUGGGUAGCAAACAGGAUUAGAUACCCCGGUAGUC
rnacentral:rRNA from 1 species